GACGAACGCUGGCGGCGUGCUUAACACAUGCAAGUCGAGCGGUAAGGCCCUUUCGGGGGUACGACGAGCGGCGAACGGGUGAGUAACACGUGGGUGACCUGCCCUCAGCUCUGGGAUAAGCCUGGGAAACCGGGUCUAAUACUGGAUAUGACUCCAUGACGCAUGUUGUGGGGUGGAAAGCCUUGUGCGGCUGAGGAUGGGCCCGCGGCCUAUCAGCUUGUUGGUGGGGUGANGGCCUACCAAGGCGACGACGGGUAGCCGGCCUGAGAGGGCGACCGGCCACACUGGGACUGAGACACGGCCCAGACUCCUACGGGAGGCAGCAGUGGGGAAUCUUGCGCAAUGGGCGAAAGCCUGAUGCAGCGACGCCGCGUGAGGGAUGACGGCCU
rnacentral:rRNA from 1 species